rnacentral:rRNA from 1 species
AUUGAACGCUGGCGGCAUGCCUAACACAUGCAAGUCGAGCGGAGCUUCGGAAGGGUGAGUAAUGCCUAGUAAUCUGCCCGGUAGUAAGGGAUAACUUCCGGAAACGGGCGCUAAUGCCACAUACUAGCAGAUCAGUCUAGGUCGGAUUAGCUAGUUGGUGGGGUAAAGGCUUACCAAGGUGGCGAUCCGUAACUGGUCUGAGAGGAGGAUCCGUCACACUGGAACUGAGACACGGUCCAGACUCCUACGGGAGGCAGCAGUGGGGAAUAUUCGACAAUGGGCGAAAGCCUGACCCAGCAAUGCCGCGUGUGUGAAGAAGGUCUUCGGAUUGUAAAGCACUUUAAGUUGGGAGGCGUUACCAACAGAGUAAGCAACGGCUAACUUCGUGCCAGCAGCCGCGGUAAUUC